rnacentral:rRNA from 1 species
AACGAACGCUGGCGGCAGGCUUAACACAUGCAAGCCGAGCGCCCCGCAAGGGGAGCGGCAGACGGGUGUGUAACGCGUGGGAACGUACCUUUUGGUUCGGAACAACUCCGGGAAACUGGAGCUAAUACCGGAUAAGCCCUAACGGGGAAAGAUUUAUCGCCGAAAGAUCGGCCCGCGUCUGAUUAGCUAGUUGGUGAGGUAACGGCUCACCAAGGCGACGAUCAGUAGCUGGUCUGAGAGGAUGAUCAGCCACACUGGGACUGAGACACGGCCCAGACUCCUACGGGAGGCAGCAGUGGGGAAUAUUGGACAAUGGGCGCAAGCCUGAUCCAGCCAUGCCGCGUGAGUGAUGAAGGCCUUAGGGUUGUAAAGCUCUUUUGUCCGGGAAGAUAAUGACUGUACCGGAAGAAUAAGCCCCGGCUAACUUCGUG